ensembl:lncRNA
GAACUCUCCAAAGUAGUAGGGAACACGAAACAUCUCAGUGAGUAAAAUGCCAAGUCAAUAGGAUAGACUUCAGGAAGAUUGCACCAGCUGGGUGAGUGGGCAGAACAGCGGCAGAUGAAUCUUCAAGGACAAGACAGCAGAUGCCUUUAGGACAAACAAUCCCAAGUCAGAAAAAAAUGGUCUCUGAAGGGUUUUGGAAGGUCCAUGCUUGCACAAGAAAUAAGACUCUUUACAGUUCUGUGUGAUUGGAAGUUUUCGCACACUUGAGCUAAGACAUGGGAAGGUAAAUUAAAAAGAAAUCAGCACUGAAGGAGAGAAUGAGGAAGUCAUAGAGUGCACACACCCAGUCUGGGCCAAGGGUGUGCACUGAAGAUAAGCCAGUCCUACCUGCCUGUCCUGAUGUACCCAGACCUGGAUCCAUGGGAAUUUUCAUAUUCAUCUUGAAUCCUCUCCUCGAGGGAUCUAGACACUUCCCCUCCUCUAUCCUAUGUCUAUUGUUGCCUCAAACCAACUUGGCAUCUAGCCACAGCUGCAGAUGCUCCCAGGAAGAAGAUUCAGAAUCAGCCUCCAAGUGAGGUGUGGAUGUUCUCCAGCAACUGACGAGGACCCAGUAUUACCGAGAGUCCACGUAUAGUUUUGUUAGUUACAGAAUAUUAACUAGGAUGUUUCCUCCGAGGGUUUUAACUGCAUGGUUUUUGCACAGGUUGGGACUUGAACUGAUUUUCUGAGGAAGCUGUUCAUCAAAGGCGUCUCCAUGAGCUAACCUUGAGUUUGAUUAUUCUCUGCAAUAAUCAAUAAGAGAACAGGACAGAAAAGUUUUUUUUGUUGUUGCUGUUGUUGUUGUUGUUACAAUUUCAGCUUACUAUACUAACUCACAGCCUGUUGUACCACCAGGGUGACCCUUCUGGAGAUUUCAGUACUUAGGUGACCACUGAUCAAACUUUAUACACUUGGAUUGCUUAACAGUGUAGCAACAUGUCCAUUCAAAAUGUUUUUAUUCAUCCAUCCAACUUGAUUGACAUUCAAACCAGCUAGUGACCCGGAGCUGGGAACACUGGCAUGGGAUGCCAGCCUUCCCACCAUCCAGCUCCCAUUGGUUUCCUCAAAUUCCAGUCCUUCCCCAAAGGAACAGAUGGAGCGAGGGUGAGAAUGUAGGAAGUGAUUUUUAAAAAGGUGGGGGAGGGGUGAGCUGAAAAGGGAUGCUAGCUAAGAGAGAACAAAGAGUCCCCAAAAACAUAAUGAUUAACAAACGUACCAUUGGGACCUAGAAUGAGAAGACAGGCCAGGAGUAGGGCAGGGCUGCCAGGGCCAGUUACUCAGAGCACUAUACAGCAAACAGACACCAGAUGAGCAGCCAGGAGUGCAAACACCAGAUCCAAGUUUACUUGUCUUCCUCAUGCCCUGGUGGAGAGACUUUGUCUAUCCCUACAAUCAGGCUUCCUUUACCAAUUCGAAGAAGCAUACAGCACAGUGGGUCUGAGUUUGAUCCCUGGUACCCACAUGAUAGGAGAGAACCAAGUCCUGCAAAUUGUCCUCUGACCCCCCCUCUCUCUCUCUCUCACACACACACACAUUCACAUACUCACACACACACUCACACACAUACAUACUCACACACACACUCUCUCACACACACACACUCUCUCACACACACACACAC